UAUCCAGCUUACGAGUGUUACAAGACCAUAGAAUUGAAUAAGCAAGAGAUUGGGCAGUUGCGUUUCUGGUCCCAAUAUUGGAUUCUAUUUGGAUUGUUGAGAGAAUUGGGAGUAUUUGCUGAUAUACUCUUCUCAUGGUUACCAUUCUAUUACGGAGCAAAGCUUGGCGCCUUCCUGUAUUUGUGGCAUUCCCGGACAAAAGGAGCAACAUUUGUCUAUGAGACAUUCCUGGCGCCUUUUAUCGCAGAGCAUGAGUCUGA